AGGUAAACAACACUUUGCUGUGGAUACCCUAUCUCCACCUACCGCCAGAAGGACCAACAGCACGUACAAGCAGUAAAGACUUGCGUGAGGGUCCACCGGAUCCCACCGAUGAACGAUGCCAGCAGUACCAUGAUGAAGCCCUUCAGGUUGAACUGGGUCGACUUGAAGGUGAACAUGAACAGGCCGCUGGCUAUCAGAAGGACCACCACGAUCAGGAAGGUGAAUGCCUCGUGAGAUUAGUUCAACUGCUGUACCCCAUCAGAGGGGUGUAAUAUACUGUACAACAAUAUAAAUGCAACAUGUAAAGUGUUGGUCCCAUGUUUCAUGAGCUGAAAUCAAAAUUCCCAGAAAUGUUCCACAUGCACAAAAUAUUAUUUCGAGCCCAAAUUUGUUUACAUCCCUGUUAGUGUACAUUUCUCAUUUGCCAAGAUAAUUCUUCCACCUGCCAGGUGUGGCAUAUCAAGAAGCUGAUUAAACAGCAUGAUCAUUACACAGGUGCACCUUGUGCUGGGGACAAUAAAAGACCACUCUAAAAUGUGCAGUUUUGUGACACAACACAAUGCAACCGAUGUCUCAAGUUUUGAGGGAGCAUACAAUUGGCAUGCUGACUGCAGGAAUGUCCACCUGAGCUGGUUGCCAGAUAACUCAAUCAUACUUUCUCUACGAUAAGCCGCCUUCAACAUCAUUUUAGAGAAUUUGGCAGUACGUCCAACCAGCCUCACAACCGCAGACCAAGUGUCACCACACCAGCCCAGGACCUUCACAUUCGGCUUCUUCACCUGUGGGAUCGUCUGCAACCAGCCACCCGGACAGCUGAUGAAAUUGAGGAGUAUUUUUGUCUGUAAUAAAGCCCUUUUGUGGGGAAAAACUCAUUAUGAUUCUGAUUGGCCCUCCAAGGCCCACCCAUCAAUUGACUGAUUUCCUUAUAUGAACUGUAACUCAAUAAAAUAUUUUAAAUUGUUCCAUGUUUCUUCAGUGUACAAAGCAGGAUCAAUUAGUUAGUCAGCCAACUUUAAUUAAUAACCAGAAAUAACUUGAUUUUCUGGUUCAUUAUGAAAUCUAAACUUAGAUAUGCGUUUCGGUUGUUGAGUCGAUGAGGGGCCAUGCACAUUUUCAGCACAUCUAUAUUUAGGCAAGUUAGAUGGCUAACUCAUUGAUCCUGCUUUGUAGUAUACCCCUCAAAACCCCAAAUAAAGUUUAUGA